GCCCCUAUCGUCUAGUGGUUAGGACAGAUGGUUCUCAGCCAUCAAACCGGGGUUCGACUCCCCGUGGGGGCA
rfam:Candidatus Liptonbacteria bacterium RIFCSPHIGHO2_12_FTLL_60_13 rifcsphigho2_12_scaffold_31429, whole genome shotgun sequence.